AUGGACACACGAACUCCAGAGAUGAUUCCCCGGAGGUAAAACAUUACCUGCAGGUUAUUUGACCCUCCACCUGGGCUGAAGGUGCUUAUUACAGGAUACUGGAUGCUUGCAGGCAGGAGGUGGGCAUCUCCGCCGGCUUGUUGUUGAUCCAGAAGCGGUACCAGCCCGGGGACAGAGAGUGGUCGCAGAUUAGAUCCUGGAUGGCCGUGUCCUGGAUCUCCGUGGAGUCGAAGUCGACGCUGCGAUAGGGGCUACGCAGAGUCCGGUGACCUCCGGUGUAACACUCUGGAGCUGGAAGUUCCAGAUCUGUGAAUUGAAUCAUGAGGAAAUGAAAAACUGCAGUAUCUCAGGCCCCGUUUCCCCCCGGAGUCGUGUCUCUAUCUUUGACUGAGUCCUAGUGUGAGGUCUGACGACAGACGGGAUGAAGAUAGACAAAACAAAAGCCACACAAGCCUGCGAGGGAAAUAUGGAGGAGUUAACCCUCUCCCCUGACACUGCAGGUCCGUGUAACCAAACAGAACAUGCCGUUUUCCACUCAAGCAAACUCUGUAAGCUGCACAUCUGUCAAGAGAAAUGGCUCAAAGUCGGGGGCUUUUCCUAACAAAGGCUAUUCCCUUUCCCCUGUUUGACUUUGUGGCGGCUGAGCAAAGUCAGGGAACACAAACACACCAGGUAUUUAGGAUGUUUUGACACUGACAAAGCCAUGAAUGGACAGGGCGAAGUUACAAAGCCUAAACAAAGUCUUACAGGCGGGGUUUGGUGUUGACAGCCCCUGGUGUUUACCUCGUCUGCAUGUUCCCCGUCUGCAAGACAAGACUCGGGGUCACAGGUUGUGCAAACACCCAGCUUUUCAGGCAGAAGGACACUCCCUGAGACUUCUGCCGCUGGGUAAACUGUUCCAAUUGGUGGCUUAAUGAGUUUACAGAGCUGGGGAGAGGUGGGGGGGGGUGUGAGCUAAUGAAGGGGGUCCCGGGGGAGGGGGUCCCGCUGUGAGGGGGGCCCUCAGCAGCCCAGAUGUGCAGGGACUCUGCAGGGAGCUCUGCCGUUUCUCAGGAAAGGAGAUUAACUUGGGAGAGCGCGGUGUUAACACAACUGAGGCUUUUCUUAGAGGACUGUCACUCACCAGGAAACAGAAACUACAGUCAGGACAGGGUCAAAGGUCAGGGGGAGCUGCAGUGUGAUAUAAGACACAUUAUCACCCAUUAUAAUGCUGUGUUAUGGUGGAAAACAAAACAUAUUUAUCAAAUGAUCUCAAGUUCAGAAUAAAAAAGGGAUUUAUCACAAUCAAUUUCAAAUCAAUUUGCUUUGAGAGGACAUAAAGACUUUAAAAGUGCUAUGUGUUUCAACUAUAGUCUGAAACACUUGGCAUUUUAGUCAACUUUAGGAUCUUCAAGUCUACAGGAUAAAGUUCAGAGGGUUUAAAAAGGUUUGUUUGCACAGCAACCCUUUGUAUUGAUGAGCCGCUGAAGGCAUUUUCAGUGCUUAAGUUUAAAAAUAUCUCUUUCAGCAGGUUAACCCAACACUGUUUGAUUGUUGAAGUCAACUGGACAUCAUGUGUGUCCUGGAGUUCCAGGCGCUGCGGCAGACUUUGUUUUGGCUCAGAAAUGCCUGGUAUUCCUGUUACAAAGCUCUGCGAGGAACACACAGCGCUUGGUUUUACGACAGCCCCUCUUAAAGUUUACGACGUGAGCUUUGAUGUGUAGCCCCGCAGACAGAUAUGAGCAGAGACAGCACAUAACAACAGCUCUAACUGUCAUGUCAGAGAGAGAAGGACUCUGAAAAGAGGCUUUAACUGAAAUAUAUUGAGCAACAAGUGUCAUAUUGUGUAAUGAGUCAUUAGACAAGUUGUCUAAUCUUGUUUCAAUUACAUGUUUACGAGCGCUUCUCUGGGAUUGUGUUUACGAGUCUGCUUAUUCCCCUGUUUGUUGUUGAUUUUAAUGAAGUCUACUGCAGUGAAUAAUGUUUCAAACACUUAGGACUACAUGUUCUCUAAGAGACUGUUUUGUGGAAGUGAUAAUUAGCAGGAGCAAAGCAGGCAAAUAUUCAGGGCUCCAAGAAAAAUAUUGUAAAAGGGAUCCUUGUAUUGUUAAACCUCCUGUAAAAUGUUAUUAUAAUGUUGCUCGUCUAGACGCAGCUGUUCUGACUAAAACGUCUUGUAAAUCUUCCUGUUUUGUGUUUUCUCACCAACAUGUGAUUUGUUUUAGCAGAAAUUAACAAUAUAUACGACAAAAAGUGAUCUUGAAGGUUUAAAUACAUAUUGGUAAGCAAUACAUCUGCCAUUGUCAGUCGGUGUGUAUGUAUGUGCAAACUGUGUAUAAGUACAUAAGUCGUGUUAAUACUUUGAUGUCAUUUUAUCGUGAUAUGUAGUUUGUACGAUUCCAGAACAAAUGUCCUUUCAGACACAUUAAAGUAUGUCUUAUCGAG